GCCAGGCAUGGUGGCGCAUGCCUGUAAUCCCAGCUACUCAGGAGGCUGAGGCAGGAGAAUCACUUGAACCCAGGAGGUAGAGGUUGCAGUGAACUGAGAUCACGCCACCGCACUCCAGCCUGGGUGACAGAGUGAGACUCCGUCUCAA
rnacentral:sRNA from 1 species